AACCCUAUGUUCUUAUCCUCUCAUCAUUCUUUCUUCAUUGCUCUCUCCACUGUUCCUCCCUCUCAUUCCAACAAACUUCACACACUCACUGUUGUUUAUAGCCGAUUGAGGAAUAAUUUCAACAGAUCAUUUAAAUUGUUAAAAGACUAUCUAUUUCCAACUCAAAUCCCCAUUCUAAACUCAAGCCAAACCCCCAGAUCUGCUACCUACUUCAAGUUUGUUCGCGGUGAUGAUGGUUCUUGAAAACCCAGAAAUGGUUGAAGACACGCAUAAAUUGCGUUUAUGAUUUUCAAGGGAAGUAUUAUCUCGCUGAUUCAGGAUAUCCAAAUGAGUACGGUUACUUGGGGCCAUAUAGAGGUGAUAGAUAUUAUCCUCCAGAAUUUCUUCGACGAGGACAACCACAAAGUCGAGAAGAAAUAUUCAACCGUGUUCAUUCAUCGCUACGAUGUGUAAUAGAAUGUACUUUUGGAAUUUGGAAGAAAAUGUGGAGAAUCUUGCAAAACAUGCAUGUCUUUCCUUACAAAACAUGCAUGUCUUUCCUUACAAAACACAAGUUCAAAUUGUUGUCGCCUUAAGGGUACUGCAUAACUACAUUCGAAGGAAGUCGAUUCAAGAUGUUGCAUUUAACGAGUUUGAUUGCCAUCUUGAUUUUGUUCUUGAUGAUUUUUUAACCGAUGUGCUUCCAUAAUCACACACAUGUAGGCACCAGAGGGCUUCGCGUAUGGAUAAUAUUCGUGAUGACAUUGCAACAAGUUUGAUGAGGCAAUAAUGUUCAUUUUUUUUUAAUAAAAAUGAACAAAUUUCUUUUUAUGUC